AUUGAACGCUGGCGGCAGGCCUAACACAUGCAAGUCGAGCGGAUGAAGGGAGCUUGCUCCUGGAUUCAGCGGCGGACGGGUGAGUAAUGCCUAGGAAUCUGCCUGGUAGUGGGGGAUAACGUCCGGAAACGGGCGCUAAUACCGCAUACGUCCUGAGGGAGAAAGUGGGGGAUCUUCGGACCUCACGCUAUCAGAUGAGCCUAGGUCGGAUUAGCUAGUUGGUGGGGUAAAGGCCUACCAAGGCGACGAUCCGUAACUGGUCCGAGAGGAUGAUCAGUCACACUGGAACUGAGACACGGUCCAGACUCCUACGGGAGGCAGCAGUGGGGAAUAUUGGACAAUGGGCGAAAGCCUGAUCCAGCCAUGCCGCGUGUGUGAAGGAGGUCUUCGGAUUGUAAAGCACUUUAAGUUGGGAGGAAGGGCAGUAAGUUAAUACCUUGCUGUUUUGACGUUACCAACAGAAUAAGCACCGGCUAACUUCGUG
rnacentral:rRNA from 1 species